GAUGAACGCUGGCGGCGUGCCUAAUACAUGCAAGUCGAGCGAACGGACGAGAAGCUUGCUUCUCUGAUGUUAGCGGCGGACGGGUGAGUAACACGUGGAUAACCUACCUAUAAGACUGGGAUAACUUCGGGAAACCGUAGCUAAUACCGGAUAAUAUUUUGAACCGCAUGGUUCAAAAGUGAAAGACGGUCUUGCUGUCACUUAUAGAUGGAUCCGCGCUGCAUUAGCUAGUUGGUAAGGUAACGGCUUACCAAGGCAACGAUGCAUAGCCGAACUGAGGGGGUGAUCGGCCACACUGGAACUGAGACACGGUCCAGACUCCUACGGGAGGCAGCAGUAGGGAAUCUUCCGCAAUGGGCGAAAGCCUGACGGAGCAACGCCGCGUGAGUGAUGAAGGUCUUCGGAUCGUAAAGCUCUGUUAUUAGGGAAGAACAUAUGUGUAAGUAACUGUGCACAUCUUGACGGUACCUAAUCAGAAAGCCACGGCUAACUACGUG
rnacentral:rRNA from 1 species